UGAGGAAUAUUGGGCAAUGCCCGCAAGGGUGACCCAGCAACGCCGCGUGGAGGAUGAAGGCCGUAAGGUUGUAAACUCCUGUUAGAGGGGAAGAACGGUACCGAUUGGAUCGGUAUAUGACUGUACCCUCAGAGAAAGCCCCGGCUAACUACGUGCCAGCAGCCGCGGUAAUACGUAGGGGGCAAGCGUUGUCCGGAUUUACUGGGUGUAAAGGGCGCGUAGGCGGGAUAGCAAGUCAGAGGUGAAAUCCUACAGCUUAACUGUAGAACUGCCUUUGAUACUGUUAUUCUUGAGUGCGAAAGAGAGAGACGGAAUUCCAGGUGUAGUGGUGAAAUACGUAGAUAUCUGGAAGAACACCAGUUGCGAAGGCGGUCUCUUGGUUCGAUACUGACGCUGAGGC
rnacentral:rRNA from 1 species